UGGGGAAUAUUGGACAAUGGGCGAAAGCCUGAUCCAGCCAUGCCGCGUGUGUGAAGAAGGUCUUCGGAUUGUAAAGCACUUUAAGUUGGGAGGAAGGGCAGUAAGCGAAUACCUUGCUGUUUUGACGUUACCGACAGAAUAAGCACCGGCUAACUCUGUGCCAGCAGCCGCGGUAAUACAGAGGGUGCAAGCGUUAAUCGGAAUUACUGGGCGUAAAGCGCGCGUAGGUGGUUCGUUAAGUUGAAUGUGAAAGCCCAGGGCUCAACCUGGGAACUGCAUCCAAAACUGGCGAGCUAGAGUAGGGCAGAGGGUGGUGGAAUUUCCUGUGUAGCGGUGAAAUGCGUAGAUAUAGGAAGGAACACCAGUGGCGAAGGCGACCACCUGGGCUCAUACUGACACUGAGGUGCGAAAGCGUGGGGAGCAAACAGG
rnacentral:rRNA from 1 species